rnacentral:lncRNA from 1 species
UGGGAUCUGGGGACUGCCAGGAAAAAACACGGGAGAAUCAUGCGCUGAGCAAAGGGGGCCCAGGGAGCUGUACUCGGGGUGGUUGAGCUGAGCAUCUAGGCGGAGCUAAACACCAGGGGCGGACCACACGCUGAUUAUCUGGGCGGAGCUGAACACCUGGGCAGUGUGGCUGUGAUCAGGGGCCCGGCACUCUUAGAAACCUCAGAGGCUGGGAAGAACUAGUCUGAGGGAACCUAAAUUCACAGAAAACCCGCCCACAUCACCCAGACCCCAGACCAAAAAGGAAAGGGGAAUAAAACCACCAAAGGGAUGGCUCACAUGGCCCAAAAUCAAGCCUCCAGGAAGAAAGGGAAAAAGGUGACUAUUGAAAACUUUUAUGAUGGAAGUACCCAAGGAAAAAAGGAGAAUGAGGAUGAAAUCCAAAAAAAAUCAGAACAUGCCUCCCAAAAUGGAAACUAUCAACAAGCUCUGGAAGAUCUCAAACUGGAACUUAUUCAAAAGAUGGAAACCUGGAAAGAAAAAUGGGAGAAAGAGAUCAGCAGUCUGACAGAUAAGACUGCUCAAUUGGAAAAAGAGCUCGAAGCAUCCAAUAGAAGGGCAGACAAAGCUGAAAAGCAAAACCAGUCCCUAAUGACCAGAAUUAAGCAACUCGAAGAAAGUGAGAUCAUAAAACAGCAAGAAUCAAUAAAGCAAAGCCAAAAAAUUAAUGAAUUAGAAGAAGACAUAAAAUAUCUCACUGACUUGGAAAACAGAGGAAGAAGAGACAACCUCCAAAUUAUCGGUCUCCCAGAAAAACCAGAGAUAAACAAUAAACUUGAUAUUAUUCUACAGGAGAUUAUAAAAGAAAAUUGCCCACACGUUCUGGAGCAAGGGGGCAAAAUAGAAAUAGAAAGGGUUCAUAGAACACCCUCUAUACUAAAUCCCCAAAAGACAACCCCUAGCAAUGUAAUUGCCAAAUUCAAGAGCUUCCAAGAAAAGGAGAAAAUCCUACAAGAAGCCAAGAAGAGG